rnacentral:tRNA from 2 species
GGCAACAUGGCCGAGUGGUUAAGGCGAGAGACUCGAAAUCUCUUGGGUUCGCCCGCGUCAGUUCGAAUCUGGCUGUUGUCG